rnacentral:lncRNA from 1 species
UGUAGCUGACUCUGUGGGCUUCUAUUUACUGCUGUUUACUUUUCCUCACAGAUUUUCAAAUAAAAUUAUUUUAGCACAAUCUUGUUGCUUUUGAAGAAGUGAUACUCCUAAAUAUAGAAAUGCAGUGUAAAUAUUUAUAAGAUUCCCUUUAUGAGGCCAUCUUUUUUAAGUGCCUUGAAGGGCAACAGCAUGUGUGUGGGUAUGUGGGGACUAGAAGGACAGCUGUGCUAAGAAUUCCCUGCAAGAGAGGGUAAUGAAACUGCAGCCAUCCUUCAUGAGAUUUGUUUUAGGAAAAGAAGCUUUAAAUUCAACAAGGAUUCCAACAGAGAACUAGCUUCUUGUAAGAUCAGCUAAAUUGUUGCAUCUCUGUCCCUGACACAGUUUCUUUUCACUUUGCAGGCAAAGCUGUCUGUCCCAGCAUCACUCGGCGUUCCGGGUAACAUAAGCACACCUGCGUUUCCUCUUAACAGACUUUCCUCUGUUAAGGCCUACAGAUAAAUCUGACUUCAUCCCCAGAACAGUUAUCAUAAGAACAGCACCAUUAUACAGAGGCAUAGAUUUUCCCUUGUCUCACUUGACUUCAGCCUGCRUCUGGAAAAAAAAUCUUUUCCUCUGACUUUGCAUGGUUGAAAGUCUUCAUCAACAGUGUCACUGGAGAUGAAAAACCAGGAAAGGAAAUACAGUCAUGAAUUUGGACAUAAUGUGGCUGGAUCUAAUUUCAUGUACAUCGUGUAGCUAGACCUACUCUCAUGGACAUCAAAUCUGUGUAGAGCUUUCCAGUAGUUUUGGAAGAUGACUACUCAUAUGGUGUCAUAAAAACUGUAUACACCUGCUGAAGGUAAGAAACCAGUAUUUGCAUGUUAGGCAUAUACAAUAUAUUUGCAAAUUGGUAACUGUGUCUAAGGUCAUAUUUACACAU